rnacentral:tRNA from 1 species
UGAAUAAGAGUCGCGAGUGUGAUAUCUGAUUGUUACUCAGAAGGGAUAUAUUAAAUUUGUAUUUAUUCAG